AUUGAACGCUGGCGGCAUGCCUUACACAUGCAAGUCGAACGGCAGCACGGGUGCUUGCACCUGGUGGCGAGUGGCGAACGGGUGAGUAAUACAUCGGAACAUGUCCUGUAGUGGGGGAUAGCCCGGCGAAAGCCGGAUUAAUACCGCAUACGAUCUACGGAUGAAAGCGGGGGACCUUCGGGCCUCGCGCUAUAGGGUUGGCCGAUGGCUGAUUAGCUAGUUGGUGGGGUAAAGGCCUACCAAGGCGACGAUCAGUAGCUGGUCUGAGAGGACGACCAGCCACACUGGGACUGAGACACGGCCCAGACUCCUACGGGAGGCAGCAGUGGGGAAUUUUGGACGAUGGGCGAAAGCCUGAUCCAGCAAUGCCGCGUGUGUGAAGAAGGCCUUCGGGUUGUAAAGCACUUUUGUCCGGAAAGAAAUCCUUGGCUCUAAUACAGUCGGGGGAUGACGGUACCGGAAGAAUAAGCACCGGCUAACUACGUG
rnacentral:rRNA from 1 species